rnacentral:rRNA from 1 species
GAUAAACGCUGGCGGCGUGCCUAACACAUGCAAGUCGAACGCCCUUUUGCGCAAGUGAGAGGGAGUGGCGGACGGGUGAGUACCACGUGGGUACCUACCUUGAGGUGAGGAAUACCACCGAGAAAUCGGUGACAAGACCGCAUACGCUUGGCAACAAGCAAAGUCUCGCAAGAGACGCCACAAGAUGGGCCUGCGCCUGAUUAGCUAGUUGGUGAGGUAAUGGCNCACCAAGGCGACGAUCAGUAGCUGGUCUGAGAGGAUGAUCAGCCACACUGGGAUUGAGAACGGCCCAGACUCCGUACGGGGGCAGCAGUGAGG